rnacentral:lncRNA from 1 species
UCUUUUGGGAUAGCAUUGGAAAUGUAAAUGAAAUAAAUACCCAAUUUAAAAAAAAUAAAAAAAAUUUACUGGUUAUAAGGCUUGAAAAAGUUACUUUCUUCUAAAGAUUAAAGAAGAUUGAAAUUAAUAGUUUUCCCUCAAAUUUCAGUUACUUAAUACUAUUAGGAUUCAAUUAAUGUGAUUUUUGACUAUGUAAUGUGAUUCUUUCAUAUUUAAAAUUCAAAUAACAUUCUAAAUUUUAGGACUUUUUGGUGUAACUGGCCCGUUAGGGCUACAGAAGUAUGGAGAUUGUGAAGUGCGCUGUAACUGGUUUCCUCUUAGGAAUCAUGACUCAGCUUCAUGAGAUAGAAGGUAGACAUCUUUCAGUGACUAAAAAGACUUAAUGACUUACUAUACUAUAGGGACACAGAAACAAUGCAGAAAAGUUAUUUCAGACUGACAGGAUGUUUGCUUGUCAAUUUUUUUUAAAUUGUGCUGAGUUGGAUUUGUUGAGAACACAGAGCAACCAGUUGCUCUAAUAUAGGUUCCCAGGCUCUGACAUUUUAUAGGUUAUUUUAUAGUUUUCUCUUGGUUCUGUGAUAUCAAUUAAUUAGAUUAGAUUUUAAAUUAGAAUUUAGAACUACAAAUAUCCCUUAGUCUUCUUAUAAAUGAAGGAGCUGAAAUCCUAAGAAGCCUCAAUUAUCUGUGAUUUUGCAGCCAGUGAUGAGGCCAAAAAGAAGCAGGCCCUCCUGGCUGUCAGUUUAGUGAUUGCUGUAGAAGAUCACUUCAGGUUUAUUUUCUCCAGAGUCGUUUUAUAUGCAGGACCUGUUGUCAAAUUACAAGUUUGUGUUUAAUCUCUUGAAGUUGAGGGGCUUUUGGGAUUAGAACCAGAUAGUCCACAGAGCAUAGAUGGCAGGAAGCAUGAUGAGCCAUCCUUGAUCAGACUCCAGUUGUGUCCUCUAAGAAGAACUGGGCCUCAGUUCUGCCUUCUUGAAGAUCUUCCUGCCUAUUGUUAUCUAAGAUCAUGCUUAUGUGGACAUUGGGGGUGUGUGCUUUAUUGUGCUGAGCUCUGCUUUCAAAGGACUUUGACAGCACCUUUCACAGUGUCACCAUGGCAGGUAGUGUUUGAAAACACGCUCUGACAUACACAUCACAGCCCACCUUUCUGUCUUCUUUACUCUGCCCAUCUUUGCCUAUUUGAGCAAUUUCCAUUCAUUCAUCCAUAUCUGAAGCUCUUGAAAGAUACUGUCAUGGUUUGAUUUUGCUUGGCCCAGGGAGUGGCAUUAUUUGAAGGUGUGGUCUUGUUGCAGUAGUUGUGUCACUGUGGGUGUGGGUUUUAAGACCCUCAUCCUAGCUGCUUGGAAGUCAGUAUUCUCCUAGCAACCUUCAGACGAAGAUGUAGAACUCUCAGCUCCUCCUGCACCAUGCCGGCCUGGAUGUUGCCAUGUUUCCAACUUGAUGAUAAUGGACUGAACCUCUGAACCUGUAAGCCAGCCCCAAUUAAAUGUCCUUAUAAGAGUUGCCUUGGUCAUGGUAUCCCUUCACAGCAGAAAAACCCUAAGUCAGAUAUUGGGGGUGUUGUUGUUUUGCUUGUUUGCUUGUUUGUUUGUUUUUGCAUUUUGAGUUUUGGUAUCAGUAGUUGCUGUAAUAAAUAGCUUCCAAAAUGUACAAGAGCUUAAACACAAUUCAGAUUUACUACAUUCAUUUACUGCUAGUAAAACUUUAUUAGAGGCAUUCCUAGUUAAUGGCGGCCUUUGACAAUGGGCCUUUGGUCUUUCCAGCACUGAAGGAAAACAAGAAAGACCUCCUCUGUGCCUGAAAAAAAUCUCUACUUAGAGAUUGACAUCCAGAUACUUCACUCAAGUAUUUUUGUGGGAGUACCAUUCACAGAGCUGCAUCUGGUACUGAAGAGAGAUUAUAAUGCAGUGUCUAGUUUUAUAGCCACUUUUUAGUAACAGCUUUAACACUAUGCCAGGGGAAGGAGACAUAUGGGUAGGAUAAUAUAGUUUUUAUUCUACUUUAAUAGCAAUACCAUAUUGUACUCUUCAUCUUAGUGUAACUACUUUCCCUUUGUAUUAUCCAUUUGAUAGUUUCUAGAUUAACAUUUCAGUAUAUAAAACUCAAACAAAAUAGUAUUGCCAUCUCUAUGGUAGAAAUAGUCAGACUCCAAAGGCCUUAUUUAUCCAUAUUCCCUGAUGAAAUUAAAAUGAGUUGUGGGC